rnacentral:rRNA from 1 species
UACAGAGGGGGCAAGCGUUGUUCGGAAUUACUGGGCGUAAAGCGCGCGUAGGCGGCUUUUCAAGUCGGAUGUGAAAUCCCCGGGCUUAACCUGGGAACUGCAUUCGAGACUGUCUAGCUAGAGUAUGGGAGAGGGAAGUGGAAUUUCAGGUGUAGCGGUGAAAUGCGUAGAUAUCUGAAGGAACAUCAGUGGCGAAAGCGACUUCCUGGACCAAUACUGACGCUCAUGUGCGAAAGCGUGGGGAGCAAACAGG